GCGAAAUUUUGUUAGCUUUUUUUCAUUCUUCUUUUUCCUUUUUUUUUCUUCUUUUCAAUUAUACUAUUUCUCUUUGUAAAUGACAAUAUUUUUCUUGAUAAAUGACACCCUUUUCAAUUAUACUAUCUCUCUUUAUAAAUGACAAUAUUUUUCUUGAUAAAUGACACGAUCGGUAUUAAUAAAUGAUACUAUAUUUAUAUUACAAAUAACACUUUUAAUAUAUCUAAAUGACACUAUUUUUUUUAGUAAACGAUACUUUUUAUAUAUCUAAAAAUGACACUAUUUUUCUUAGUGAAUAACACUAUAUGCAUU
rnacentral:lncRNA from 1 species